CUGUUGUCCUUUGGACACGACAAUAGCCUAUUCGGGGUUCUUGUCCUUGGUGUUUAAGCAGCACAUGCCACUGUUGACCACAUCCUCUCCCUGGUUUUGAUGAUCUUGCUCUCUUUUGUUUCUCUUUUUAACCAUCUGAUUACUUGAUCUCAGUAGCUUUUGCUGUGUGAUCACCCAUGUUCUGACCAAAUAUAUAAACUUCUUUUUAGCUCUCUUCUCUUUUAUCUCAAUGAACUCAUCAUCUCCUAAAGGUUCUUUAUCUCUAUCUGGUUGAUUUCCACAUUUACAGGCAACGCCUCCUCUGGAAUUCCAGUUUCACAUCACAAACUGCCUAAAGGGAAUCUCCCUAUGGAUGGCCAAUGGAUAUCUCAAACUCAACAGGCAAUGUCCCAAGACUGUAAUUCUGCAGUAAAGCUGUUGAUCUGUAUUAAGAGAGGGAGUUUUUGCAACCAGUUGCAUGUUUAG
rnacentral:lncRNA from 1 species